CAGUCGCCACGGUAAUACGGAGGGUGCAAGCGUUAAUCGGAAUUACUGGGCGUAAAGCGCACGCAGGCGGUCUGUCAAGUCAGAUGUGAAAUCCCCGGGCUUAACCUGGGAACUGCAUUUGAAACUGGCAGGCUAGAGUCUUGUAGAGGGGGGUAGAAUUCCAGGUGUAGCGGUGAAAUGCGUAGAGAUCUGGAGGAAUACCGAUGGCGAAGGCAGCCAUCUGGCCUAAUACUGACGCUGAGGUACGAAAGCAUGGGGAGCAAACAGGAUUAGAUACCCCGGUAGUCCCUGUCUCUUAUAC
rnacentral:rRNA from 1 species